rnacentral:rRNA from 1 species
AGCAGCCGCGGUAAUUCCAGCUCCAAUAGCGUAUAUUAAAGUUGUUGCAGUUAAAAAGCUCGUAGUUGAAUUUCGGGAUCAAUUUAUCGGUCGUGCCAAUGGUAUGAACUGGUACAAUUGGUUUCUUCCUUCUGAUAAAGCGUGAUGCCAUUAAUUUGGUGUCGCCGGGGAAUCAGAACUGUUACUUUGAAAAAAUUAGAGUGUUUAAAGCAGGCUUAGGCUUGAAUACAUUAGCAUGGAAUAAUGAAAUAGGACGUUUAAUCCUAUUUUGUUGGUUUCUAGGAUCGACGUAAUGAUUAAUAGGGAUAGUUGGGGGCAUUAGUAUUCAAUUGUCAGAGGUGAAAUUCUUGGAUUUAUUGAAGACUAACUACUGCGAAAGCAUUUGCCAAGGAUGUUUUCAUUAAUCAAGAACGAAAGUUAGGGGAUCGAAGACGAUCAGAUACCGUCGUAGUCUUAACCAUAAACUAUGCCGACUAGGGAUCGGAUGAUGUUAGUUUUUAAAUGACUCAUUCGGCGCCUU